rnacentral:rRNA from 1 species
AUUGAACGCUGGCGGCAGGCCUAACACAUGCAAGUCGAACGGUAACAGGAAGAAGCUUGCUUCUUUGCUGACGAGUGGCGGACGGGUGAGUAAUGUCUGGGAAACUGCCUGAUGGAGGGGGAUAACUACUGGAAACGGUAGCUAAUACCGCAUAACGUCGCAAGACCAAAGAGGGGGACCUUCGGGCCUCUUGCCAUCGGAUGUGCCCAGAUGGGAUUAGCUAGUAGGUGGGGUAACGGCUCACCUAGUCGACGAUCCCUAGCUGGUCUGAGAGGAUGACCAGCCACACUGGAACUGAGACACGGUCCAGACUCCUACGGGAGGCAGCAGUGGAGAAUAUUGCACAAUGGGCGCAAGCCUGAUGCAGCCAUGCCGCGUGUAUGAAGAAGGCCUUCGGGUUGUAAAGUACUUUCAGCGGGGAGGAAGGGAGUAAAGUUAAUACCUUUGCUCAUUGACGUUACCCGCAGAAGAAGCACCGGCUAACUCCGUG